GGGCGUGCUAAUCUGCGAUAAGCGCCGGUAAGGUGAUAUGAACCGUUAUAACCGGCGAUACCCGAAUGGGGAAACCCAGUGUGACUCGUCACACUAUCAUUAACUGAAUCCAUAGGUUAAUGAGGCGAACCGGGGGAACUGAAACAUCUAAGUACCCCGAGGAAAAGAAAUCAACCGAGAUUCCCCCAGUAGCGGCGAGCGAACGGGGAGGAGCCCAGAGCCUGAAUCAGCAUGUGUGUUAGUGGAAGCGUCUGGAAAGGCGCGCGAUACAGGGUGACAGCCCCGUACACAAAAGCGCAUGUGCUGUGAGCUCGAUGAGUAGGGCGGGACACGUGGUAUCCUGUCUGAAUAUGGGGGGACCAUCCUCCAAGGCUAAAUACUCCUGACU
rnacentral:rRNA from 1 species